rnacentral:rRNA from 1 species
AGAGUUUGAUCCUGGCUCAGGACGAACGCUGGCGGCGUGCUUAACACAUGCAAGUCGAACGGAGCACCCCUGAAGGAGUUUUCGGACAACGGAAGGGAAUGCUUUAGUGGCGGACUGGUGAGUAACGCGUGAGGAACCUGCCUUCCAGAGGGGGACAACAGUUGGAAACGACUGCUAAUACCGCAUGAUACGUUGGAGCCGCAUGACUCCGACGUCAAAGAUUUAUCGCUGGAAGAUGGCCUCGCGUCUGAUUAGCUAGUUGGUGAGGUAACGGCCCACCAAGGCGACGAUCAGUAGCCGGACUGAGAGGUUGGCCGGCCACAUUGGGACUGAGAUACGGCCCAGACUCCUACGGGAGGCAGCAGUGGGGAAUAUUGGGCAAUGGGCGCAAGUCUGACCCAGCAACGCCGCGUGAAGGAAGAAGGCUUUCGGGUUGUAAACUUCUUUUAAGGGGGAAGAGCAGAAGACGGUACCCCUUGAAUAAGCCACGGCUAACUACGUG